rnacentral:rRNA from 1 species
GCGGCACGCCUAACACAUGCAAGUCGAACGAAGUAGCAAUACUUAGUGGCAGACGGGUGAGUAACAUGUAGGUAUCUGCCCUUUGGCCUGGAAUAACACGAGGAAACUUGUGCUAAUACCGGAUAAGUCUUUACGGAGAAAGCUUUAUGCACCAUUGGAUGAGCCUGCACUUGAUUAGUUUGUUGGUGGGGUAAUGGCCUACCAAGACUGUGAUCAAUAGCUGAUUUGAGAGGAUGAUCAGCCACAUUGGGACUGAGACACGGCCCAAACUCCUACGGGAGGCAGCAGUGGGGAAUCUUGCACAAUGGAGGAAACUCUGAUGCAGCGAUGCCGCGUGAGUGAAGAAGGCCCUUGGGUUGUAAAGCUCUUUCGUCGGGGAAGAAAAUGACUGUACCCGAAUAAGAAGGUCCGGCUAACUUCGUGCCAGCAGCCGCGGUAAUACGAAGGGACCUAGCGUAGUUCGGAAUUACUGGGCUUAAAGAGUUCGUAGGUGGUUGAAAAAGUUAGUGGUGAAAUCCCAGAGCUUAACUCUGGAACUGCCAUUAAAACUUUUCAGCUAGAGUAUGAUAGAGGAAAGCAGAAUUUCUAGUGUAGAGGUGAAAUUCGUAGAUAUUAGAAAGAAUACCAAUUGCGAAGGCAGCUUUCUGGAUCAUUACUGACACUGAGGAACGAAAGCAUGGGUAGCGAAGAGGAUUAGAUACCCUCGUAGUCCAUGCCGUAAACGAUGUGUGUUAGACGUUGGAAAUUUAUUUUCAGUGUCGCAGGGAAACCGAUAAACACACCGCCUGGGGAGUACGACCGCAAGGUUAAAACUCAAAUGAAUUGACGGGGACCCGCACAAGUAGUGGAGCAUGUGGUUUAAUUCGAAGAUACGCGCAGAACCUUACCAACACUUGACAUGUUCGUCGCGACUCUAAGAGAUUAGAGUUUUCGGUUCGGCCGGACGAAACACAGGUGCUGCAUGGCUGUCGUCAGCUCGUGUCGUGAGAUGUUGGGUUAAGUCCCGCAACGAGCGCAACCCUCACUUUUAGUUGCCAUCAUUAAGUUGGGCACUCUGAAAGAACUGCCAGUGAUAAGCUGGAGGAAGGUGGGGAUGACGUCAAGUCCUCAUGGCCCUUACGUGUUGGGCUACACACGUGCUACAAUGGUAUCUACAACAGGAAGCAAGACUGCGAAGUUAAGCAAAUCCCUAAAAGAUACCUCAGUUCGGAUUGCACUCUGCAACUCGAGUGCAUGAAGCUGGAAUUACUAGUAAUCGUGGAUCAGCGUGCCACGGUGAAUGCGUUCCCGGGUCUUGUACACACCGCCCGUCACACCAUGGGAGUU